GCAAUAGAGGCGCGAAUCUCAUCAGUACCCGCCCGGAGGCUGCGAAGAGCCACGGAGGGGCGGGGAAAGGGAGAUUCGCCGAAACCGGCGUCUUUUCGCGGGCGCUGCAGUUGGGGUACAGUCGAACAGGCUGUGCACUCUCACCGACAGGUGG
rnacentral:ncRNA from 1 species